rnacentral:tRNA from 1 species
UGCCAAAGUACGUCGCCAACGACCGCAUGAAGGGCGGUGCGGACGAGUAUCGCGCGGUAGCGCAAGGUUCGAUUGCGCACUUUGGCAG